GAGCCGCGAUAGCUCAUUACAACAGCCAUCGUUUACUAGAAAAUAGUUGUCCUACUUGGAUAACUGUGGCAAUUCUAGAGCUAAUACAUGCAAAAAGGCUCAAUACCGCAAGGUUUGAGCGCAUUUAUUAGAAUAAAAACCAAUCGGGUCUAAACGCCCGCUCUUUGGUGAAUCUGAAUAACUUUGCUGAUCGCAGGUCCUAGUGCCGGCGACGUAUCUUUCAAGUGUCUGCCUUAUCAACUUUCGAUGGUAGGCUAUACGCCUACCAUGGUAGUAACGGGUAACGGAGAAUAAGGGUUCGACUCCGGAGAGGGAGCCUGAGAAACGGCUACCACAUCCAAGGAAGGCAGCAGGCGCGCAAAUUACCCACUUCCAGAACGGAGAGGUAGUGACGAAAAAUAACGAGACAGUCCUCUUCGAGGUCUGUCAUCGGAAUGGGUACAAUUUAAAUCCUUUAACGAGGAUCUAUUGGAGGGCAAGUCUGGUGCCAGCAGCCGCGGUAAUUCCAGCUCCAAUAGCGUAUAUUAAAGUUGUUGCGGUUAAAACGCUCGUAGUUGGAUCUGCGGCCUGAGAGAACGGUCCCCCGAAAGGGUGGUAGCUGUUACUCUUGGCCUAUAUCUUCAGUCGACUCUAUGGUGCCCUUAACCGGGUGCCUAGAGUGACUGGAACGUUUACUUUGAAAAAAUUAGAGUGCUUAAAGCAGGCGAAUUUGCCUGAAUAAGGUGCAUGGAAUAAUGGAAUAGGACCUCGGUUCUAUUUUGUUGGUUUUCGGAGCCUGAGGUAAUGAUUAAGAGGAACAGACGGGGGCAUUCGUAUUCCGGCGCUAGAGGUGAAAUUCUUGGACCGCCGGAAGACGGACGACUGCGAAAGCAUUUGCCAAGAAUGUUUUCAUUAAUCAAGAACGAAAGUUAGAGGUUCGAAGGCGAUCAGAUACCGCCCUAGUUCUAACCGUAAACGAUGACAACCAGCGAUUAGCAGGCGUUAAUAUAUGACCCUGCUAGCAGCUUCCGGGAAACCAAAGUUUUUCGUUUCCGGGGGAAGUAUGGUUGCAAAGCUGAAACUUAAAGGAAUUGACGGAAGGGCACCACCAGGAGUGGAGCCUGCGGCUUAAUUUGACUCAACACGGGAAAACUCACCCGGCCCGGACACCGUAAGGAUUGACAGACUGAGAGCUCUUUCUUAAUUCGGUGGGUGGUGGUGCAUGGCCGUUCUUAGUUGGUGGAGCGAUUUGUCUGGUUAAUUCCGAUAACGAACGAGACUCUGGCCUAUUAAAUAGCCGGUAUAUAUUGAAAGUUUGCCGCGCUUCUUAGAGGGACAACCGGCUUCUAGCCGCGUGAAAUAGAGCAAUAACAGGUCUGUGAUGCCCUUAGAUGUCCGGGGCUGCACGCGCGCUACACUGAAAGAAUCAGUAUGCGCUUUUGCCUAGUUCGGAAGAACUGGGUAACCCUAGCAAAUUCUUUCGUGCUUGGGAUAGGGAAUUGCAAUUAUUUCCCUUAAACGAGGAAUUCCCAGUAAAUGCGGGUCAUAAGCUCGCGUUGAUUACGUCCCUGCCCUUUGUACACACCGCCCGUCGCUACUACCGAUUGGAUGACUUAGUGAGGUCUUAGGACUGAGGUAAAGGAGCUUUAACGAGUUCCUUUGCUUUGGAAAUUUGAUCGAACUACGUUAUCUAGAGGAAGUAAAAGUCGUAACAAGGUUUCCGUAGGUGAACCUGCGGAAGGAUCAUUAACAAGCUGAAUUAAAAUAAUGAAAGGGCAGAAAAACGCUCUAUGUGACCAGGAUUGGAUAUAAAGCGGAUCCUGCGUUACUGAGGCCCUUUGUAUACGCCACUCCAGUGGGAAAAGCGGUAAGGCGCUUUUGUGCGCAGAGCCCGUCAUUGGAGGAGCGCGUAUGACCGUGAUAAAGCGGUAGACGAAAGAAGGGCAGAACGUGAACGUAUACUACGUUCCGUCGUUAACCCCAUCUAAUGGUUGAGUAAGUAGUUUGUCCAUCGUUAUGCGCCACUCAGCUUGUGUAGGGUGGACCGCGAUGGAUAGACGAAAACGACGCCUCUCUAGAUGGGCAGUGACUGGUAGGGCUAGUCUCGCUCUCUCUUUGUGAUCGCUGGUGCGCCUGGUUGUAGCGGAGUUUGGAUACCUACCCGGCACCUGUGAUACGCGACGCAAUGAGAGGGUGUGCAGCGGUAUAGCGCCAAUGAGAUUAGCUAACUAUCGACCAGUCCGUUGAUGAUUGAUCGUUACUAUACGGGAACUAUACGCCCGUUUUCUGCCAGCAUUAUUGCGGAGAAUGUAUAUGACCAUCAGACGAUUGGGAACUAAGCGUUGUGUAAAAUAAAAGCGUGUUGGAUAUAGAAGCGAGCCAGUAGAAACGAACGACUGGCGUCUGCUGGACACGCUUUGGCAACGUUUUGUAGUUUCUUCGGAGGGUACCUAUCGAAGCUAGCGCUGCAGCUGCGUCUGGCUGCACAGAGACGCGCUAGUUUCGGAAGCCUCGUAACUCGCUUAUGAGGGGAGGUUUAAAGAGCCGUUGGUUCCUGUGGACGAUUGACAGGAACGACCAGGUGAAAGCGUUUAGAAGCAUUUGCAGUCGAGAGGCAUGAUCGCUCUCGCUGUAUAGAGGCGCUAUUUACGCUGGUUCAGGACAGCGAAUUCGUGUCCGGGCGGCCGCCCUUCAAAAACCAAAACUAUCUGAACGAAUAAACGAAUAUGUUUAUAAACGAAUCCUAGAGGAUUCCAUUCUAAGCGGUGGAUCACUAGGCUCGCGGGUCGAUGAAGAACGGGGCCAGCCCCGAGAAUAAGUGCGAAUUGCAGACACAAAGAGCAUCGACUUUCGAACGCAUAUGCGGUAUCGGGCCUGCUCGAUACCACGCCUAUCUGAGGGUCGAAUUUGAUACCCAACUCGUUGUACUCACAGGCGCUACCUGGGUGAAUAAACCAUGACCAGGUCGAAAUAAUAUGCCUGCGUACAAGUAGUUGACUUGAGACUGGACGGUCCUGUCUUCCGAGCGUGGACAGGCGGAGAAGGUCGUUAAGUCAAAAGGGACUACUGGUUUACUGCCGUUAUCGGCCGUUUGACGAUUAUAACGUUUGGAUCGUUUGUAUAUAAAGCGGUGGGAUAGCUGGUAGUGAUAAAGUAGUACCAGACGGUGUAGCACGGUUGAUCGUUUCUGCUUAUGAUCGCUAUUACAAAAUACGAUAGUGAUUGUAAGUCAGCAGCGGUAGGGAAAGUAUGACCGUAAUACCCGUAGGAUACAGUGUGACUCUAGUACGCGUGCGCGCUCAUCGUUCCGUCUUGUCUCAGGUACCCUAAGAAGGUCGACUGAGAAGAGAAAAAGACGGUUAGUUAAUAAUAUACGAUGAGUGGGAAAGAGGCUCUUGCGUACCUGAAACGAUGAGGAUCACUGUCUGAUGGUUUGACCUCAGAUUAGACGUGAAAACCCGCCGAAUUUAAGCAUAUAACUAGGCGGAGGAAAAGAAAUUAAUGAAGAUUUCCUUAGUAACGGCGAGUGAAAA
rnacentral:rRNA from 1 species